rnacentral:rRNA from 1 species
GAUGAACGCUGACAGAAUGCUUAACACAUGCAAGUCUUUGGCGAAGCUGUGCUUGCACAGCCUAGCCAAGGCGGACGGGUGAGUAACGCGUAAGGGACUUGCCCUGCAGUCAGGGAUAACAGACGGAAACGACUGAUAAAACCUGAUAAAGUCAGGCGGACUCAUGUCCAGCCUGAUGAAAAGGAAUGCUGCAGGAGAGCCUUGCGUCCUAUUAGCUUGUUGGUGGGGUAACGGCCCACCAAGGCGAUGAUAGGUAGCCGGCCUGAGAGGGUGGACGGCCACAAGGGGACUGAGAUACGGCCCUUACUCCUACGGGAGGCAGCAGUGGGGAAUAUUGGACAAUGGGGGCAACCCUGAUCCAGCAAUUCUGUGUGCACGAUGAAGGUCUUCGGAUUGUAAAGUGCUUUCAGCAGGGAAGAAAAAAAGACGGUACC